rnacentral:rRNA from 1 species
CAGCCGCCACGGGAAUACGGAGGGGGCUAGCGUUGUUCGGAAUUACUGGGCGUAAAGCGCACGUAGGCGGCUUUGUAAGUUAGAGGUGAAAGCCCGGAGCUCGACUCCGGAAUUGCCUUUAAGACUGCAGAGCUAGCAGGUGAGAGAGGUGAGUGGAAUUCCGAGUGUAGAGGUGAAAUUCGUAGAUAUUCGGAAGAACACCAGUGGCGAAGGCGGCUCACUGGCUCAUACUGGACGCUGAGGUGCGAAAGCGUGGGGAGCGAACAGGAUUAGAUACCCCUGUAGUCCCUGUCUCUUAUAC